rnacentral:rRNA from 1 species
UGCCAGCCGCCGCGGUAAUACGGAAGGUCCAAGCGUUAAUCGGAAUUACUGGGCGUAAAGCGCGCGUAGGUGGUUUACUAAGUUGGAUGUGAAAUCCCCGGGCUCAACCUGGGAACUGCAUCCAUAACUGGUUCACUAGAGUACGAUAGAGGGAGGUAGAAUUCACAGUGUAGCGGUGGAAUGCGUAGAUAUUAUGAAGAAUACCAAUGGCGAAGGCAGCCUCCUGGAUCUGUACUGACACUGAGGUGCGAAAGCGUGGGUAGCGAACAGGAUUAGAUA